GAUGAAGAACGUAGCGAAAUGCGAUAAGUAGUGUGAAUUGCAGAAUUCAGUGAAUCAUCGAAUCUUUGAACGCACAUUGCGCCCUUUGGUAUUCCUUAGGGCAUGCCUGUUCGAGCGUCAUUUACAAAUUCAAGCUCAGCUUGGUGAUGGGUGUCUGUCCCGCCUUUGCGUGUGGACUCGCCUCAAAUGCAGUUAGCAGCUUGUUCCUCGGCUCUAAACGCAGCAGAUUUGCGUCGAGCGUCGUGCGGACGGGCUCUCCAGUAAGCAAACCCCCACAAAUUGACCUCGGAUCAGGUAGGGAUACCCGCUGAACUUAAGCAUAUCAAUAAGCGGAGGA
rnacentral:misc_RNA from 1 species